rnacentral:rRNA from 1 species
UCGAACGGAAAGGCCCUGCUUGCAGGGUACUCGAGUGGCGAACGGGUGAGUAACACGUGGGUGAUCUGCCCUGCACUUCGGGAUAAGCUUGGGAAUCUGGGUCUAAUACCGGAUAGGAGCCAUCUUUAGUGUGGUGGUUGGAAAGUUUUUUCGGUGUAGGAUGAGCUCGCGGCCUAUCAGCUUGUUGGUGGGGUAAUGGCCUACCAAGGCGGCGACGGGUAGCCGGCCUGAGAGGGUGUACGGCCACAUUGGGACUGAGAUACGGCCCAGACCCCUACGGGAGGCAGCAGUGGGGAAUAUUGCACAAUGGGCGCAAGCCUGAUGCAGCGACGCCGCGUGGGGGAUGAAGGCCUUCGGGUUGUAAACUCCUUUCGCUAGGGACGAAGCUUUGUGUGACGGUACCUAGAUAAGAAGCACCGGCUAACUACGUGCCAGCAGCCGCGGUAAUACGUAGGGUGCGAGCGUUGUCCGGAAUUACUGGGCGUAAAGAGCUCGUAGGUGGUUUGUCGCGUCGUCUGUGAAAUUCUGGGGCUUAACUCCGGGCGUGCAGGCGAUACGGGCAUAACUUGAGUGCUGUAGGGGUAACUGGAAUUCCUGGUGUAGCGGUGAAAUGCGCAGAUAUCAGGAGGAACACCGAUGGCGAAGGC